GCGAGGGGAGUGAAAAAGAACCUGAAACCGUGUACGUACAAGCAGUGGGAGCACAGAGCAAUCUGUGUGACUGCGUACCUUUUGUAUAAUGGGUCAGCGACUUAUAUUCUGUAGCAAGGUUAACCGAAUAGGGGAGCCGAAGGGAAACCGAGUCUUAACUGGGCGUUAAGUUGCAGGGUAUAGACCCGAAACCCGGUGAUCUAGCCAUGGGCAGGUUGAAGGUUGGGUAACACUAACUGGAGGACCGAACCGACUAAUGUUGAAAAAUUAGCGGAUGACUUGUGGCUGGGGGUGAAAGGCCAAUCAAACCGGGAGAUAGCUGGUUCUCCCCGAAAGCUAUUUAGGUAGCGCCUCGUGAAUUCAUCUCCGGGGGUAGAGCACUGUUUCGGCAAGGGGGUCAUCCCGACUUACCAACCCGAUGCAAACUGCGAAUACCGGAGAAUGUUAUCACGGGAGACACACGGCGGGUGCUAACGUCCGUCGUGAAGAGGGAAACAACCCAGACCGCCAGCUAAGGUCCCAAAGUCAUGGUUAAGUGGGAAACGAUGUGGGAAGGCCCAGACAGCCAGGAUGUUGGCUUAGAAGCAGCCAUCAUUUAAAGAAAGCGUAAUAGCUCACUGGUCGAGUCGGCCUGCGCGGAAGAUGUAACGGGGCUAAACCAUGCACCGAAGCUGCGGCAGCGACGCUGAUGCGUUGUUGGGUAGGGGAGCGUUCUGUAAGCCUGCGAAGGUGUGCUGUGAGGCAUGCUGGAGGUAUCAGAAGUGCGAAUGCUGACAUAAGUAACGAUAAAGCGGGUGAAAAGCCCGCUCGCCGGAAGACCAAGGGUUCCUGUCCAACGUUAAUCGGGGCAGGGUGAGUCGACCCCUAAGGCGAGGCCGAAAGGCGUAGUCGAUGGGAAACAGGUUAAUAUUCCUGUACUUGGUGUUACUGCGAAGGGGGGACGGAGAAGGCUAUGUUGGCCGGGCGACGGUUGUCCCGGUUUAAGCGUGUAGGCUGGUUUUCCAGGCAAAUCCGGAAAAUCAAGGCUGAGGCGUGAUGACGAGGCACUACGGUGCUGAAGCAACAAAUGCCCUGCUUCCAGGAAAAGCCUCUAAGCAUCAGGUAACAUCAAAUCGUACCCCAAACCGACACAGGUGGUCAGGUAGAGAAUACCAAGGCGCUUGAGAGAACUCGGGUGAAGGAACUAGGCAAAAUGGUGCCGUAACUUCGGGAGAAGGCACGCUGAUAUGUAGGUGAAGCGACUUGCUCGUGGAGCUGAAAUCAGUCGAAGAUACCAGCUGGCUGCAACUGUUUAUUAAAAACACAGCACUGUGCAAACACGAAAGUGGACGUAUACGGUGUGACGCCUGCCCGGUGCCGGAAGGUUAAUUGAUGGGGUCAGCGCAAGCGAAGCUCUUGAUCGAAGCCCCGGUAAACGGCGGCCGUAACUAUAACGGUCCUAAGGUAGCGAAAUUCCUUGUCGGGUAAGUUCCGACCUGCACGAAUGGCGUAAUGAUGGCCAGGCUGUCUCCACCCGAGACUCAGUGAAAUUGAACUCGCUGUGAAGAUGCAGUGUACCCGCGGCAAGACGGAAAGACCCCGUGAACCUUUACUAUAGCUUGACACUGAACAUUGAGCCUUGAUGUGUAGGAUAGGUGGGAGGCUUUGAAGUGUGGACGCCAGUCUGC
rnacentral:rRNA from 1 species